CGCAGGACAAUGCGACUCAUUUCUGUUGGCCACUCUGAUACCCUCAGCUCUGGUGUCAGUUAAGUUCUGCAAGAGCUACAUGCCGGUUGUGGGAAUGCACACAGCUAAAGCAGAAACUACUGGUGUUAUUACGUCUUAAAACUGGCUGACAACACUGUCAGCUGCCCAGCAGGAGAGAUACUCCGCAGUGUGGCAGGAUUUCAUAACUGAGCCAUGAUCAAGACGCCAGCUGUAUGUCUGUAUGGAAAAACAAGAACAAAUGGUUAAAAUCUUUGUAUUGAACAGCCAAAUCCAAUUUGACUGACAAAAUUCAACCAGGUCCAGCCCUAUUUCCUCUGACUCACUGGAUAGUUUCACCUAUUUUUGCCUCUCUAGCUAAAAAAAACAACUCACUUUUUGGAUGGAAUUGGUCACAACCAGCACACAGACAUUCAACUGGUGAUGAGGGGUUGCCAACAGACAUUGGUUUGGGGUCACAAGCCAAAAAAAAAAAGGUUGGGAAACACUGUAGUCACACACUGUUAAUAUUAGAGUCUAUGCAUUGCUGCUUGUUCCAUUCAUCCCUCAGUUCAAAUGAAGAUUAAAGUUUAUACCUCAGUGGGACUAGUUUGCAUUUUAAAAUGAAGCAUCUUUUUACUAAUUUUCAUCUGAUGGUGUUACAAAUGUGACUAAGAACAGUGACUUUUAAAGUACAGCCUUAAGUGGAGCUUUUCAUUUACACAGCCAACAGAUAAAAGUCAUUUGCAGCCCACACAGCGCCUUCAGCAGCUAAAAGACCUUUCAUUUAAGGACCAGUCAGCGUGCAACAUUAACAAAAGCCGCCAGUCAAAUGUUGGUAAAUUCUGACUGCUGCCACUAAUUCUGCUGCUUCUACCAGCUGCUUACAGACAGAUUUAUUUUAAAGUAAAAAAAAAAAAGAAAAAAACACUGAUAGAUGCUGAAGAUAAUCCUAAUUUCCUUCUUGCUUAGGAUGCAUUUCUCAAAUCUUCAAUUUAUGUAUUUGGUGAUAAAUCAUUGUAUGAAAUUCAUCAUUAAAUAUCUCUACAAUGUAGAUAAUCGUCAGAAAAGGGUUAUCACUUUGUCCCCCAGGGACUAAUAUCACAUUAUAUGUCAUUUAAAAUAUAACAAGUGUGACUUUGUUAGAGAAAUUGUAUUUAAUUUUUCAUUACUUUUACUUUUCUGGAGAAUGUUUGCACUGAUGGACCGUAUUGUCUUAAAUACGUCAGGUCACGUUUUUCUCAUUCAACUCUAAAGUAAUGUUCUAAUGUUUACAUCUUAGAAAAAUAGAAGCAAUAUUUCCACAACGAAAUGCCUUUUCUGCAUGUGUGUUUUACAUUUUGUUGAUUGACCUUGUGAAGUUUAUUGCAAUGAUUUAAACUUUUCUUUUAUCGCAAUGAGAAAAAAAAUCUACAAAAACAAUAUAUAACAGACCAGUUACAUAUCAUCAAAUGUUUACUUGUGACCCAUGUUUGUAAUUGAGUGUAAACAAAAUAUAUUAUUCCUAAUAUUAUAUCGAGUGCUUUAAUCAGAGUCAGGCUAUAACAUUACUGCAGCCAUGCCAAAUAUUUCAGUUGUGUCAGAGAAUCUCAUUUAAACUUGUAAAAGUACUUUAAUAAUGGUAGAUUAUGUAGCACUUCAUGGUUCCUGCCAGGUCAUACUUUGCAUUUCACUGGAGGUUUUCCAUAGUUUUGUCCAUCAAGCUGAGUAUUUUUCACAGAAUUAUUAAGACAACUCAUAUACUCAACUGGCACAAGAUAAAAUGAUUUGUCUCAAACUAAAUGCUGGUAAACUAUCCAGAAAUCAAUUCUCUUUGAGCUCAAUUUCCUAUUUCUGGUGCACUAUUCCUAUCACUCUCAAUUUAUUUGGGAAUUUAAAAGGUACUUUUCUGCCCUCUUGAUAAGUCAAACAUAUGUAAUAUGUAAUAUAUUUGAAGUUGUCACAAUGUAAAAUGGAGUCUCAUAUAGACUUCAAGCAGAAGGAAGUUGUAUAUAGUCUUUACACAUAUCAGCAAUGGAGAAAAAAAAGCUCUUUAUAAUAUUCAUUACCAUUGUAAUAAGGAAGAUAGUUCUAUUUUUGGAGCUACCAGUUGUGGUAUGAUAUUUUUGUGCAUGAAUCUGACUCUCAGUCCUCAGUCCUUCAUGUGGUUUUGUCAAAUGUCUCGUCUCCACUGGCCUGAGCUCAGCCUUGUUGUGGUCGGUCAGGUUCACAGUCUCAUACUGGUCCCAGUCUGGACCUGACUGAACCACAACUGGACCCAGCUGAACUCAACUGAGCUAAUGGAGAUGAGGCAGAAGUGUUCUGAUGCAAGCUGCCAUGGUCCAAUACACUGCCUGCUUUGUUUCAUCAGUUUGGUUCCUUAUUUAAUUCCAACUUUGAUAAUGUAUGAAAAUGCUCCCUUUUGGAUUAAUAAAAAGUUGGUUUCUUAAGUCUGUUGUUUUAAUCUAACAAUAUUGAGUAGGAUAAUAAUGCAGAACUAAAUUUCUUUGUUGUCUAUUUGAGGAUAUCUCACAUAUCACUCUUCUUUUUGUAGAAGCUGAAUUAUUUGGAAACUCUGGAAAUGUUGAGCCUCAGAUGUCGCGCUGCAGUCAGUCCAGAUUUGGAGUCACGAUGAGACAAACUUCCCCAUAGAUGUGAUGCUCGACUUAAGUUUCACUCAGCCACAGUGUCAGCAAGUUUAAUUGACUUCCCCUAACACGAUUUCAGGGAUCAGUCAGAGAUUACAGCUCUUUUCAGUGAUAUCAGGAAAGCAGUGAAGGUCUGGUCACUGCCAGUAAGCCGAGGUUUACACCACAGAUGACCUCACCUGUCCUGAGGCAGACCUGCAUGGUAUCUGUUGAGGAGGUGAAGUUACGUAAAGUAAAUCUGCAGCAGACAUUCUUAGAGGGCUAAUCUUCUUAGACUGCUGAGGGCUGAGACAAGCCUCAGCGGUGUCAAAGCUACCAGGAAGUCAUCUCAAGACAGGACGACAGUAGUAGUACUUGGAUAGAGUCCAGUAUGUCAGACUUUUAAAAUGGUUUGAUGGUACUUCUUAUGUGAGCGUAAUUUUUUUUUAAAAAAAAGAUUACAUAAAUUACAAGGAAGAGAGUGAAAAAGUGCUGAUACAGAGAAGUUUCUAAAGUCAUUUAAAGUAAAGUAACUGCACUCAUGGUGGAAACAAAAUCCUUUUCUUCUUCAAUUCUCAGGAUGAUUUCAGACCAUCCACUAACAGGAAUUCACCCUCUGUGUGAUUUUCCACCAUUUUGAAUUAUGUCCAAAAGUUUUCACAGCUUUCAAAUUGGCCAAAUUUCACACAUGAAAAGUCUGACUCACACAGAAGUUAUUACUUUUUUUUCAAGCUAUUAUAAUCAAUAAUUUAUGUACUUGUUCAGAACCUAGCUCAGAGCUUCACUAUGCACUUUUUGGACAUUCAGCCUCUGGGGGGACGACAAAACUUUAAAAAGUUUGUAUCUCAAAUUACUGUGCAUUUCUUUCUACACUUAAUAGGACAUGAUCUAAUGUUCAAGCCUCAGACAACAGCUUGGUUUUGAUUAAUCUAAGUCUGUGGCUUUUAUAAGCAAGUUUUUAAAACUGCAACCGAUGGUCAAUUAUGAGGUCCAUCACUACUUUCUUCAAAAUUCACAUAAUCAGUUAGCCCUCAUAACUCUUAAUGUAUUUGUUCAAACACUACCAGAACUGAGUCACAGAUUGUUUCGAGUCUGAAGGUAAAAAGUUUUGAAAUCUGUUUAAAAUUCUUUUUAGCUCAACUUAUCCUUUGAAUUUUUUUUUCUUUUGGCUCAACCAACAAAAUAAGUCCUUAACCUGUCAUAGUAUUUCUUCCCUCAGUGUCUGUAUGGCUAAAAGUCCCAUCUGUCCCUCUGCAGGUCUAAUGAGUGUGUGAUCAGUGAAGAUAGGUGCCCUGAAUUGGUGAUCAAAGGUUUCCAAACAGGAGUCCCCCUUGUCUCACAAGAGCCUGGGGCCCCAUGUGCUCCAGGGAGAGGACAAGGAUGUUAUUAUGCAGAAAGGACAGAGGCAGAGCCCACCUCACUGCUGCUCCACCAAUCGCGAUGUACCUCUGGGCUGCAUCUCAGGUAUCUUCUGUCUACCCUCUGGGUGGAGAGGAGGUCAAAGGUCGGGGAGACAGAGAGCACCUGAGAGACUCAAAGAAACACAAGGGAUAUUCAUUGAUGAGGAGAGCCCAGAAGAAGAUCCAUCCUCCAUUGUGUGGAGCUCUGGUCAAAGAAGUAAAAAAAAAAACAAAUUGUUUAUGGAGCACCCUCUGCUUGUAAACAGCCCUAAAAUUACAACAGUUUGUUUCUGGAUUCCAUCAAUAUACAGUUGCAUGCAAUGUUUGGGUUUGUGUUGCAGCCAGUGGCACUGAGAACAUUUUGCUGGUAGAAGAAAGAAUAGAUUCAGUUAAAUAUCAGUAAACCUUGGGAGCAAAUAUCACACCAACUGUGGGAAAGGUGAAGAUGAAAAGAGGAUGGCUUAUAAACACACCUCAAAAUCCACAAUGGACUUACUCAAGUUGUGCAAGCUGCAGGUUGUUCCAUGGUUCUCUCAGUCCCCUGACCUAAACAUCAUUAAAAAUAUGUGGAUAGACCUCAACAGAGUAGUGCAUGCAAGACAGCCCCAAGAGUCUCACAGAACUAGAAACCUUUUGCGAGGAAGAAGGGUGAAAAUUCCCCAAACAAGAACUGAAAGACUCUUAGAUGGCUACAAACAGCAUUUACAAACUGUUAUAGCUGCCAGAAGGGGUGUUACUAAGUACUAACCAUGCAGGGUGGCCAAACAUUUGCUUUCAGCUGUUUUCCUUCUUUGUUAUUUUGAAACUGUAAAAAAUAGAAAUAAAGUUAUCUUGCUUAAGGAAAUGUGUCGUCUUUAACUAGUAUGCUUUUACUCACUCAGCUAUUCACACUAAGAAAUUUUGACCAGGGGUGCCCAAACAUUUGCAUGCCACUGUAUAACACAUAGGAAUGUCAAGAGACAGAACAGGGCUAGUUACUUUAAUAUGAUCAGUAUUAUACCGUUUCAUCACACUGACCAGCAGAUUCAUGCAGAACCUGAUAUCUAACCUUCCACAUAUAUCCAUACACUGACUGUAAGAGCUAAAAAACUAAUUUACAAAACAUCAUAACAGUCUUUAAUUAUCAGCUCUAUUGACCACAUGUUGAUCAAAACUAACUGGAUGGCUAGGUCUGUACCAGACUGCACAGAACAACCCUUCACUGUGAGUUUCAAACUCACAACAACCUCAGGCUGUUGAGGUUUUUUGUACAAUAAACUUGCUAUAUUCACACAUGUAAUUUAAAUUUUUAUGAGAUUGUUUUGUUGUAUUGCAUUUUGUACAUAAAGACAUUUCAGGAAACAUUUA